rnacentral:rRNA from 1 species
CCUACGGGUGGCUGCAGUGGGGAAUAUUGGGCAAUGGGCGCAAGCCUGACCCAGCAACGCCGCGUGAAGGAAGAAGGCCUUCGGGUUGUAAACUUCUUUUCUGAGGGACGAAGAAAGUGACGGUACCUCAGGAAUAAGCCACGGCUAACUACGUGCCAGCAGCCGCGGUAAUACGUAGGUGGCAAGCGUUAUCCGGAUUUAUUGGGUGUAAAGGGCGCGUAGGCGGGAAAGCAAGUCAGAUGUGAAAACUCAGGGCUCAACCCUGAGCCUGCAUUUGAAACUGGUAUUCUUGAGUGCUGGAGAGGCAGUCGGAAUUCGGGGUGUAGCGGUGAAAUGCGUAGAUAUACGGAAGAACACCAAUGGCGAAGGCAGAUUGCUGGACAGUAACUGACGCUGAGGCGCGAAAGCGUGGGGAGCAAACAGGAUUAGAUACCCUAGUAGUC